GACGAACGCUGGCGGCGUGCUUAACACAUGCAAGUCGAGCGGUAAGGCCCUUUCGGGGGUACACGAGCGGCGAACGGGUGAGUAACACGUGGGUGACCUGCCCUCAGCUCUGGGAUAAGCCUGGGAAACCGGGUCUAAUACUGGAUAUGACUCCAUGACGCAUGUUGUGGGGUGGAAAGCCUUGUGCGGCUGAGGAUGGGCCCGCGGCCUAUCAGCUUGUUGGUGGGGUGANGGGCCCUACCCAAGGCGACGACGGGUAGCCGGCCUGAGAGGGCGACCGGCCACACUGGGACUGAGACACGGCCCAGACUCCUACGGGAGGCAGCAGUGGGGAAUCUUGCGCAAUGGGCGAAAGCCUGACGCAGCGACGCCGCGUGGGGGAUGACGGCCU
rnacentral:rRNA from 1 species